rnacentral:rRNA from 1 species
UACAGAGGGGGCAAGCGUUGUUCGGAAUUACUGGGCGUAAAGGGCGCGUAGGUGGCCAACUAAGUCAGACGUGAAAUCCCCAGGCUCAACUUGGGAACUGCGUCUGAUACUGGAUGGCUUGAAUUCGGGAGAGGGAUGCAGAAUUCCAGGUGUAGCGGUGAAAUGCGUAGAUAUCUGGAGGAAUACCGGUGGCGAAGGCGGGUCUCUGGGCAUCUCCUGACGCUGAGGCGCGAAAGCGUGGGGAGCAAACGGG